AUACGGAAUUGAAACGGGAAAAGUUCCCCUGGUCUCUUUGCAGGGCGUUCAACAGGGAGAGUGGCUCGCUUCUUCAAACCUCUAGGGGAGCAUACAGAUGGACAAGCUUGGGCCUCCAACCCCACGGCAGCAUCUAGAGGUAGAUGUUUACAGCUCCUGAAGCCCCAGUGGGCGUGCGCCCUGUGCUCUUUUAGUUUUGCUGCCUAUAAGCGGCUUAUGUUAACCAGCUCAAUUAGAUCCUCUUCUUUGUCGUAAGGACAGAGGGCUUUCUGUAUCCCGGGUUCUUGCCUUGGUGUAUUGGAAGAAUCAGAUUACACCUGGGCUUAGAGAAUGAGUGCAAGGUUUUAUUGAGUGGAGGUAGUUUUCAGCAGAUGAGGGAUGGAGUGGAAAGGUUUUCCCCUGGAUUCCUGCCGCUCAGCAGCCCCGGCUCUCCUCCAACCGCCCUGACCAAACUCCAAGUCGUUCGGCCGGUCGGUCGAUGGCCUGCAGGCUUGCCGGUACCUGUCAGCGUGCUCUCGACACCCUCUCCACAUCCAGAAGCAAGAGAUGAGACAAAAAGGGAAGUCAGAAAGAUUCUUCGUGCAUCGUUCAUUCUUUGAAGAAGUGGCCAACAUGAUGAGGAAUACAGGCAGCCUAAAGGAUAUAACAGACGUUCCUGGCUAAUAGCAAGAAAAAAGUGAACUUCAGUUCUACCAACACAGGGAACUGAAUUCUGUCAAUAGCCUAAUUAAGCUUAGAAACAGAUUCCCCCCGGAGCCUCCAGAUAAAUCUCAAAUUAGCCAACACCUUGACUUCAGCCUUCUAACAACUGAAGCAGAAAAACCAGCCAAGACCACUGAACAUCUGACCUACAGAAUGUGAGGCUGGAGGCAUGGAGCCUCAACAUGGACUCCCAGGUCAGUUCUUCUGGACAGGAUUAGAAGUUCUCCCCUCUUCCCUCAUUUUUUUUUACUACCACUUACGUAACUCAGCUGACACAAGAACAAUGCUCUUGUGGCUAGAAAAAUAUUUACUUGAACUUUAGGUUUCAGCCACUUCCACUCACUUCAGCACAUUCCUUCGCAGGAGGAACUAUACUGCCCCCUCAGAAGGGAAGGGUAUGCAUGGAGACCAGAGAAUGAUUAUUUAAGCUAGGCCACAUUGCUGGUUGGUGGAUAUCAAAAUCAGCUGCCUUCCUCUCCUUGAAUACAUUUAUUUUCUAAUGGAACCAUAUCUGGAAAUAGUAUUAGGGACCCAGCACGAAUGUUUAACUCUGAUAGCCAGGGCUGCACACAACCUACUCAGCUAGA
rnacentral:lncRNA from 10 species